AUGCUCCCCGACGGCCUCGGUCGGUGGCUGGCGGCUUUGCUGCAAGCGGCAGUGCGGACUUCCCGUUUCCCGGAAAACCACUCUAAUCCGUCCCUCCCCAUCGUAGCCGCUGCUGCCCUGAAGCGCGCUGGGAACAGAACCUGCCGGUCGGGGGGGAGCGCGCCCCCCGGGGAGCUUGACACCCCCCGUCCCCUCUCGGUGCCUGAGCUCCGUUGCCCGAGAUGGACCCGCUCGGGAUCCUUGGGCGCCGAGGCCCGGAGAGGGAACCUGUCAGUUUGGGGAACGCGGGAAGCCGCGUCUGCGUGGCGGUUGCCUUCGCAGCAUCCCCAGCUGUUUUAUUUUAUUGUAACUUCCUUGCAAACAGGCCCCUCGGAUGAGGCCCCCCGGCGCGCCAGGUUCUCCUUCCACCUCGAGCGGCGAGACCGAGAGUCCCCAAGGACGCCGCUCCCGGCCCCCGCGCCCCGGCCGCGCUUGGCACACAAAGGCCAGCGCCAGCGGGACGCAGCUGGUCGCGGUUUCCCGCUCAGCAGCCCCCAGGUGGCGCCGCCCCCCGCCCCGCGUCGGGGACCCGCGGCCCGAGCCCGGGACCACGCUGGGGCUAAGGCGGGGGCUCGCAGCCGAGGGAGCACGCUCGGAUGCCCCGGUGGGGAGGGCCGAGGGGGAGGAGGAGGCGCAGGGCGCCGAUCUCGCGCCUCUGAACUUUAUGGGGUUGAAAGUUUCCUCUGCUGUCGCCUCCCCCUUGCGUGCGGAGCUGUGCCUUGCGUGCGCGGCUUCUGGAAAGUCGUCGGCUCUGGUCAUAUCCUUGGGCGCUUCUCACGGCACCUGACACGCCGGGGCGGCGGCGGCGGCGGCCCAGGGCGGGGUGCGAGCCGCCACCACCCUCCGCGGCGCACGCACGGCCGCACCCGGGCUGGCCGGAGAGGCGGGCGCCCAGACUCGGCGGCGGGUAGGCGGAUCGCGAGAUGCGGAGCGGGGCGUGCUCGGCCGGCACCUUCCCCCGCGGGCUGCGCCCUUCCUCACUGGCUGGCACAAAGUAUUUUCAAGCCCCUGCAGAGAAAAAGGUCUUCUCGGAAGGCUGGGGAAAGGGCGAGCCCCGGGAAGGGUGGGAUGGAUGGUAGCUAA
rnacentral:lncRNA from 1 species